rnacentral:rRNA from 1 species
CCUACGGGAGGCAGCAGUGAGGAAUAUUGGUCAAUGGGCGCGAGCCUGAACCAGCCAAGUCGCGUGAGGGAGGACGGCCCUACGGGUUGUAAACCUCUUUUGCCGGGGAGCAACGGGCGCCACGUGUGGCGCCACUGAGAGUACCCGGAGAAAAAGCAUCGGCUAACUCCGUGCCAGCAGCCGCGGUAAUACGGAGGAUGCGAGCGUUAUCCGGAUUUAUUGGGUUUAAAGGGUGCGGCGGGGGAUCGUUAAGUCAGUGGUCAAAUUGGGGGGUCCAACCCCUUCCCGCCAUUGAAACUGGCGUUCUUGAGUGGAAGAGAGGUAUGCGGAAUGCGUGGUGUAGCGGUGAAAUGCAUAGAUAUCACGCAGAACCCCGAUUGCGAAGGCAGCAUGCCGGCUUCCGACUGACGCUGAAGCACGAAAGCGUGGGGAUCGAACAGGAUUAGAUACCCCUGUAGUC